GCAUCGCUUGCAUGUAUGUCGCUUUCGCGCGUUAAAAAUAUAACCUGCAACAAAAAUCAAAGCUGCUCUAACAACACACACAUUGCCUGCUACAUUUUGCUUUGCCUUUAUUUUGCCGUUCUGUGGGAUUCCACUGCAUCCAUAUAAUUGCAAACCGGCGAGUUCAAGUUGGACUUCGAAGUUUCAUUGUGCACCGGUGUGAAUGGCUGCGCGUACCUAAUACAAUGAUAAACGUCCAAGGGGACAGUUCAGAUUAAGAUAUCUCGAGGGGUUCCACGCUGCUCUGCGCCGCCACGCUGCGCCUAACUUGGAACUAAAAACUCUACACUACCCUUACCUACAUCAUGAUGUAUACGCCAAGGCAUCUACAGACAAAAACCUUCAAAGAAAUAAAUUUGGACGAAAGCUGCCUGCAUCACACGAGUUAAAAAUAAGAAAUGUUCAGCCAAAGAAAGGUAUGUCGUGUUUCAGGGAGAAAGAAAAGGGAUUCAUGAGUAAGCGUGCAACCAUGAAACCAAACCGGCACCAUUAAGUCAUCAGAGCGUUCGGCGGUACACAAAAGCGAGGUCCAGCAAUGAAGAAACCAUGACGAAUUGUUAGUACUUGUUGUCCUUAAAAUGUACUCAACUGAUAAUGCUGGAUUCUGCUGUGGAAUAUCAUUUUACAACCCCUCAACGUAUUCCCAAGAAGUUAAUGAUGCAGCAGUUGAUGAAUUCAUUCGACUUGUCUCAUUAAAUUUGCGUUUACACCCAUUUGCAGUAGACAUGUUACAUUUCAUGAUCAGAAGGUUGUGAAAAACAAAUUCCACUGUUGUCAUUCGAAUCAAGAUCUCGAUAUGAAUGUAAUAUUUUUGUGGAUAUUUGAGAGGGUUGGUGGAAUCGUUAAGCACGCUGGAAGAACAAUAAGUCGUCGAUAGCAGUGGCAGCAGCAGCAUCUUGGGGGAUUUUGCAGCUCUGUGGAAUGCAUGGCCAUAAUGGGAAUUUCACGGAAAAUAAGACGAAGAAUGGAAACGCUUUUGCUGGCAGUUGCCGGCCCCGCGUCGGAGGAAGCGAUGGGAGCACAGGAUGGAUGUCGUCGGCGGAUGCGGCGGCCGCCUCUCGAGCGUGCGCCGAUUGGCCGUGCAGAGCGCGUCGCCCUAGCAACGGUGGCGAGAAGGUGGAGGCCGCACGGCAUACCCGUCUUGAUUCAUCGGCACCUUGAGACGCCGCUUUAAUGUUGCCUUUAUUCAAAUUAAUCGCGUUUUUCCUCAGCGCCAUCGCGCGAGCCUUCUUUCCCAUGCGCCGCGUUAUUUCGGCAAUAACUCACCGCCGGGGAUUUCAUAUUAGUAUUGGUAUCGCAGCUGCAACUUGCACCCAGGGCACUCACGACCGGAAUAAAAUUGAAAAUUCAACUUUCAAUAUAAAUUCAAAUUCUACACCUUAGAUCUUCGACUUGCAGACACUUAGAAUGUGUCUAUACGAUAUACAACGUCGGUGCAUUGAAAUCAGUAAAUUAAACCUGCGGCCAACUUUGAAAAAAAAAGGAGACGGUUUAGAGCCUGUUGGGCAUUCCGUUGGGAAAUUAAUUACAAACCUGCGGGGUUAUUAAGAACCAGCGGUGAUGCCUCUGGUGCUGCCGCCUCCAGGGUUACAGUCACUGGUACAUUCUAUUGUUCAAAGCAAGGCGGACGCUCACAUUUACGAAUAUUUAUUACAUCGAUUCGCGCGCAGCAGUGGCCUAGACUUAGAAACUGCGUUCCAAGUUUCAUUAAAAGUUUCUGCGUUAUUUGAUACAGAUUUACGUAAUUUACCUAUACAGGAGGCGCUUCGUUCAUUAUUUCCGAAAGUAAUUAAAGAAUAAUGCUACAAAUCAGAUAAGAUAAGAAUUUGGCGUGGCAAAAUAUUAAGAUUUUAUAAAAGGAGAGUUUAAAAUGAAUACAUUUAGGCUGAGUUUAUUCUACAUUAUUUUGUUAAAAUUAAUUUGGUUUUCAUUCUUAGUUAUAGGUACCUACGUAUUGUUAGUACAUCGGAAGCAUCUUGAUGAAAGUACAAAAUUUAGAAUUACUCAAUAAUUGGUAUAAGUUUGGAACGAGAUAAAUUUAGUUUAUAAGAUGAAAUAAUUAAUUUGAUUGUUUACGGUAGUUGUAUCAAACGCAUGAAUGCAAAUGAGUAUUCAUGAGUUAUUUUAUAAUGUGAUAACGAGCAAAAAUUUAAGCAAUAACCGGACAACGCAUAAUUAAUUAAGCACAAUGCGUUCACGCAUUACACAUUUAGCAAUUGCAUUAACAUAACACUCAGCAGUCGAAAUAAAACGUAUAUUAUUCAGUGCCACGAUCUUCAUGAAUGUCAAAAUUAAUUCUUUGUUUAUGAAUAUUUUGGUUUGUUUCACACUGCUUAUAUUUGCACUCCAUUAUGCCACAGACUGUGUGCGUUAGAUAUUAUAGUCGUAUUUAUUCGCAAAAUAAUAGGAGAUAUUAUUAUAUAAACGAUUUACACGUUUUCGAGGCGUACACACACGGCUUUUAAUUAACGCGUCCGCUUUUCGGCGAACGCGGACUGUGUGGUGGCCGCUCGCGUCGAGCCUCAGCGCUCGUAAUUCUUAAUUAAUUAGGCCAUUAGCGCAUUAGCCAAUUAAUUCCUUUUUGCUCCUAAAUUACUAAAUAUGCAUGACGCUGCCAUGUAUUUUGGCUACGGGGCUGUUUAAACUGUGUGCGCAUGUAUUCGGCAAUGUUAAUGGCGAAUUAUGAUAAUCUCUCUGGUUAAUUUGAUAAUUGCGCCGUAAGAUUUACACAAAUUGUAAUUUAUAGUUCAUUUUUAUAAAUAAAUACUAGACAUAUUGACAAAAAAAA